AGCGAACGCUGGCGGCAGGCUUAACACAUGCAAGUCGAGCGGGCAUCCUUGUGGUGUCAGCGGCAGACGGGUGAGUAACGCGUGGGAACGUGCCCUUCGGUUCGUAAUAACUCAGGGAAACUUGAGCUAAUACCGGAUACGCCCUUUUGGGGAAAGGUUUACUGCCGAAGGAUCGGCCCGCGUCUGAUUAGCUAGUUGGUGAGGUUACGGCUCACCAAGGCGACGAUCAGUAGCUGGUCUGAGAGGAUGAUCAGCCACACUGGGACUGAGACACGGCCCAGACUCCUACGGGAGGCAGCAGUGGGGAAUAUUGGACAAUGGGGGCAACCCUGAUCCAGCCAUGCCGCGUGAGUGAUGACAGCCUUAGGGUUGUAAAGCUCUUUUCUCCGGGACGAUAAUGACGGUACCGGAGGAAUAAGCCCCGGCUAACUUCGU
rnacentral:rRNA from 1 species